rnacentral:rRNA from 1 species
UACCAGCUCUCCGAGUGGUGUGGAUGUUUAUUGGGCCCAAAGCAUCCGUAGCUGGCUGGACAAGUCCCCUGUUAAAUCCACCGAUUUAAUCGUUGGUGUGCGGGGGAUACUGUUCGGCUAGGGGACGGGAGAGGCAGACGGUAUUUUCGGGGUAGGGGUGAAAUCCUAUAAUCCCGGGAAGACCACCAGUGGCGGAGGCUGUCUGCUAGAACGCGCCCGACGGUGAGGGAUGAAAGCUGGGGGAGCGAACCGGAUUAGAUACCCGGGUAGUCCCAGCUGUAAACGAUGCAGGCUAGGUGUUUGGACGGCCACGUGCCGUUCUAGUGCCGCAGGGAAGCCGUUAAGCCUGCCGCCUGGGGAGUACGGCCGCAAGGCUGAAACUUAAAGGAAUUGGCGGGGAGCACCACAAGGUGUGAAGCUUGCGGUUU